rnacentral:rRNA from 1 species
CCUACGGGAGGCAGCAGUAGGGAAUCUUCCGCAAUGGACGAAAGUCUGACGGAGCAACGCCGCGUGAACGAUGAAGGCCUUCGGGUCGUAAAGUUCUGUUGUUAGGGAAGAACAAGUGCUAGUUAAAUAAGCUGGCACCUUGACGGUACCUAACCAGAAAGCCACGGCUAACUACGUGCCAGCAGCCGCGGUAAUACGUAGGUGGCAAGCGUUGUCCGGAAUUAUUGGGCGUAAAGCGCGCGCAGGCGGUUUCUUAAGUCUGAUGUGAAAGCCCCCGGCUCAACCGGGGAGGGUCAUUGGAAACUGGGAAACUUGAGUGCAGAAGAGGAAAGUGGAAUUCCAAGUGUAGCGGUGAAAUGCGUAGAGAUUUGGAGGAACACCAGUGGCGAAGGCGACUUUCUGGUCUGUAACUGACGCUGAGGCGCGAAAGCGUGGGGAGCAAACAGGAUUAGAUACCCUGGUAGUCCACGCUGUAAACGAUGAGUGCUAAGUGUUAGAGGGUUUCCGCCCUUUAGUGCUGAAGUUAACGCAUUAAGCACUCCGCCUGGGGAGUACGGUCGCAAGACUGAAACUCAAAAGGAAUUGACGGCUGAGCGNGCGACGACGACACGAGGGAGAGG